rnacentral:rRNA from 1 species
ACGGCUCAGUAACGCGUGGACAACCUACCCAAAGGUCUGGGAUAACUCCGGGAAACUGGGGAUAAUACCGGAUAGGUCAAGAGUACUGGAAGGGUUUUUUGAUUGAAAGCUCUGGCGCCUUUGGAUGGGUCUGCGCCUGAUUAGGUUGACGCCGGUGUAAAGUACCGGCGUGCCGAUUAUCAGUACGGGUUGUGGGAGCAAGAGCCCGGAGAUGGAUUCUGAGACACGAAUCCAGGCCCUACGGGGCGCAGCAGGCGCGAAAACUCUACAAUGCAGGCAACUGCGAUAGGGGAACAUCGAGUGGCAUCUACAUUAGGUGUCUGUCCAGCUGUCUAAAAAACGGCUGUUAGCAAGGGCCGGGCAAGACCGGUGCCAGCCGCCGCGGUAAUACCGGCGGCUCGAGUGGUGGCCGAUAUUAUUGAGUCUAAAGGGUCCGUAGCCGGCUUUGCAAGUCUUGUGGGAAAUCCAGCGGCUUAACCGUUGGGCGUCUGCGGGAUACUACAUUGCUUGGGACUGGGAGAGGUAGGAGGUACUCAGGGGGUAGGAGUGAAAUCCUGUAAUCCUCUGGGGACCACCGGUGGCGAAGGCGUCCUACCAGAACAGGUCCGACGGUGAGGGACGAAAGCUAGGGGCACGAACCGGACUAGAUACCCGGGUAGUCCUAGCCGUAAACGAUGCCCGCUAGGUGUCACGGCAGUCGUGAACUGCCGUGGUGCCGUAGGGAAGCCGUGAAGCGGGCCACUUGGGAAGUACGACCGCAAGGUUGAAACUUAAAGGAAUUGGCGGGGGAGCAC